rnacentral:lncRNA from 1 species
CUAUUUGAAAAAAUAAAUCACUCUUAUAAGCAUAAUUUUUCAAAUGAUAGAGGUGGUUUUAUGACAAGCCAUUGUAUUAUAAAGUGAUAACUGUAAUAUGGAAAAUUAAAAAAAAAUCACCCACAAUUUCAGUGCCCUCACACAACCUUUACUAUUAUUUUCAUGAACAUUUUCGGUAUACUUUUUACCUGCAUAUAUUCACUGAUAACUUUUUUUGCAUCAUACAUAGACACAUAUAAAUGAAUCGUUACAAUACAUCCUGUAACACCACUCAAAGAAAGAACAUUAACAGCCUCCAAGCAUUGACAGGUGUGUCCUCUCCUCCUUUUUUCUCUUAAAGGGAACACUGCCCUGUCUUCUAAAGCCGUAAAGUUUCUCUGUUUAAAUUUUAAGUAAAUGUAACUAAACAGUAAGUUUUCCUUUGUCUCUGGUUUUCUCUCCUCAGUACUAUGUUUGUUUCAUCUGUGUCGCUGCAUGUAGAAAUAGUUGUGGUGGUUUUUUUUUUUUGGUUUGGUUUGGUUUUUUGGUCAUCCCACAGAGUUCCCAGACCAGGGAUCAGAUCCGACAGCAGUUGUGCCAACGCCAGAUCCUUUAACUCACUGAAGUGGGCUGGGGAUGGAACCUGCAUCUGGCACUGCAGAAAUGCCACUGAUCCUAUUGUGCCACAGCAGGAACUCUAUAAAUAGUUGGUUCUGGAGUUCCCGUUGCGGCUCAGUGGUAAUGAACCCAACUAGUAUCCAUGAGGACUUGGGUUUGAUUCCUGGCCCUUCUCAGUGGGUUAAGGAUUUGGCAUUGCUGUGAGCUGUGAUGUAGGUCGCAGAUGGGGCUUGGAUCUGGCAUUGCUGUGACUGUGGUGUAGGCCAGCAGCUGCAGCUCUGCUUUGAUCCCUAGCCUGGGAACUUUCAUAUAGGCUGCGGGUGCAGCCCUAAAAAGCAAAUUAAUUAAUUAAUAGUUGGUUCUCUUUAACUACUAAUAUUCUAUUAUUAUAAAAUUUAUUAUAAUCUGGAUAUCUGGAUUGUUUAUAGGUUAGUGCUAAUAAAAAUAAUGGUACUGUAAAUAUUCUUAUAGAUGUCCUUUAAUUAUACAUAUGUAUUUAUUUCUAGUAUAUCUGAUAUUGAAUUUGCUGAGUGUGGAUUUGCUUGGUCAUAGAGUAUGCAUAUGUUUAACCUUAGUAGACAAUGCAAAGCAGUUUUACUAAAUAGUUGCACCAGUUUAGUCUCAGUGAAUGAGUUUCCAUUGCAACGCAUCCUCACCCAACUCUUUGGUGUUGUCAAUCCUUUUAAUUUUAGUCAUUCUGAUGGGUGAUAGUGGUAUUUGAUUAUGGUUUUAAUUUGCAUUUCCCUAGUGAUUAAUGACAUUGAGCACUUUUUCAUAUGUUUAUUGGCCAUUUGAAUAUCUUUAUUUUUAAAUCUUACAUCUCUUUCCUGUUUUUCUUUUAGGUUCUUUCUCUUUCUUAUUGUUGUAUAGUUCUUUAUAUAUUCUGGACACAAGUUGAUAUAUCUGUUGCAAAUAUCUCCUCCCAGUUUGUGGCUUGCUUUCCCCCUCCAUCUUAAUCUUGUCUUUGGGGAAAAAGACAGGUUCCUAAUUUUAAUGUAUUUCAAUUUAUAAAUGGUUUCCAUCAUGGUUAGUGCACUUUAUGUCCCAUUCAAGAACUCUUAGGAGUUCCCGUCAUGGCGCAGUGGUUAAUGAAUCCGACUAGGAACCAUGAGGUUGCGGAUUCGAUCCCUGGCCUUGCUCAAUCAUUAACCCACUGAGUGAGGCCAGGAAUCGAAACUGUGUCCUCAUAGGUGCUAGUCAGGUUCAUUAACUGCUGAGCCACAAUGGAAACUUCUGGAUUUUUUUUGCAUACACAAUCAUGGCAUCUCUGCAUCAAAUGUGUUUCUUUCUUUCCAACUCUUAUGCUUUUCAUUUCUUUCUCUUGCCUUACUGCACUGGUUAUGGAUUUAAAGCUAUGCUAAAUAGAAAUUGUGAGAAUGGCUUUCUUGUUUAUUAUAAAUUUCAGGGAAAAAGCUUUGAACAUUUCAUCAUUAAGUUAGAUGUUUUCUGUAUGCUUUUGGUAGAUGUCUUUUAUUCUAUUAAGAAAGUUCUCUUUCUACAGCUCCAAUUAGACCCCUAGUCUGGUUGGGAACCUCCAUAUGCUGCUAAAGACAAAAGACAAAAAAAAAAAAAGAAAAAA